rnacentral:miRNA from 1 species
UAUCUUUAUGCUCUUAUCUUU